UCCGUAAUUACCUCCCUUAAACUUCCGGUGUUGUUUCUUCGCCUUCCAAGGUCGAACGUUUUUGGUUGUCUUCUUGAAAUUCUUUCUUUGCCAAAGAAAAGGAAACUAACCAUGAAAGUUCUAGACACAAUCCAUGCUUCGGACGUAAGUAAAACAACACCUUUCUAUUAUUAAUUAUAUAUAUAUAUAUGUGUGGCCAAGGUACAGGUAAACCCCAUAAAUUGUGUGUUCGAGCCACUGAGCUAUAAUCCCACCUGAUCUUCCUUUCCAAAGCUUGUUUAUUCGUUCGUUUUAAGCUAAUCAGGCAUUGAUAUAUUAAUAUAUUAUAUUAAUUACACUAAUUAUUCGUUUGCCUAAUUAUAUAACAAUAUUUACAACCUUAAAACGAAAUAAAUACGGAAUAAACAAUAAAAUACGAAAGAAAAAUCCGUUCUUUUUUCAUAUUUUCUCAUCUGAGGGCACCCACCCCCGUUUAACUCUUUCCCCUUUAUUUAACGAAAUAUAAACAUUGAAUUCCCUAAUAUAAUUCUUGAAGAUAUAUAAUCAUUCGAUGAUUUUGUGCUUAAAUCUUCACAUUUGCUAUAUAUAUAUAGGUAUAUAUAUUUAUUUGGUGUUUGUAUGAAUCUCCACAGCCCUCAUCAUUCCACAAACCGUUUAAACAAUAGUCUUUCAGAUAAUAAAGCCUCGCUCGCUUUAAAUUAUAAAUCUCUCCUUUGCAACAAUAAUAUCAGAAUACACAAUAAAGGUAUUGUUAUUUGAAAAAUUAAAAAAAUUCGUCGUUAAUUCAUAAUAUUAUUUUCUAAACACGUUUCCAAUAAUUCAUAUCAAAAUAGAGACACUUUCAUGUCGAUGACAUUCUGACCUUGAUCAAACACUUUGUCUUAAAUAAUCUUAUAACUUUGAAAUUUUACUAUAUUUCUCUACUUUACUUUAAACAUUUCUAAAUAUUUAUUUAAUUAUAUGCUUUCUAUAUUUCUUCCGAAAUAUCCCUUUGAUUUGUUUGUGGUAUUUUCUUUCAUCAUUUCACCGUAUAUCAAAAGCAGUGUCCUUUUUCUUUCUUUCAAAGGUAGUUCAUAAAAUCCUCGAAUAUAUCUUUUUAAAAAUUAAAUCCAGCCUUAUCUGAAGUACACAACAGAAAUAAAUAUUAUUAAAUGUCAUUUUUAUAAAAUAGUAAAUUUUCUUUUCUUUACUAAACGAAAUUCAGUUAGUACAGGUGUUGAAAUUUAGUUAGUACAGGUGUUUACUGUAAACUAAACGGUUGUUUAGUCUAAGCUCCAUCCAUGCCUGAUUGAGCAAUGCUGUGUUCAAAGGCAUUCCAGCCGUGACCUCAGUCUUUUUUAAAUUUAAUCUAGAACAACGUGGAAUGUGAUUAGAGAGAGGUUUGACUGCUAUUUCUAGCAGGUCGAUCGACACUAGAGAUCAGUUCCUUACAGCUAACGAACAUAUAAUUUUGCAAACCUUAUGUUUUUUUCUUUCUUUUUAACUUUUAGAAUGCUAUCGUUUUUUUUAUUAAGAAUAUGAAAUCACACUGAUGUAUUUUAGAUUUUAUUCUACCCUUAGAAAAUUCGUUAAAAUUUACGAAGCCCUACUUUGGCUGUGGUGGUUAAGAAGUCUGGCUUUGCAACCAUGUGGUUUUAGGCAGUCCAACUUUCGUUGCCCUUUAGGCAAUUAUCGUCUAUUUUAUCAUUCGAUUGAUCAAACCUUUGUGGGUUUGGUAGACUAAGAUUGCUAGAAACCCUUCACGUUCAUAUAUAUUUAUGGUUAGGGUUGUGUGUAUCGGUAGUUAAAAAAAAAACUAAGGUUAUUUCCGAAUUUUAAUUACGCCGCUCCACUAAUUAGAUCAACCUUUGACUGUUGUUUAUUGUAACCGUUCCCUGAAGAAUGAAAGGCAGAGUUCAUCUCAGCUGAACUAAAAUUUGUCCAACGCCUACAAAAAGGUCUGUUUUACGUGAUAGAGAGCUGUUAGGAUCUGUGAACUACAGCUGUUAUUCGUUUACCGGAAGUUGGGGGCAGUAUUGGAGAAUACGGGUCCCGUUCAUUUACUGUCAUCUACCUCAGUAUUGAAGGUAAUGGGGAAAAGAUAAAUGAUUUCUUUAUCAAGCACUUCCGUUCUUUACAUGGAGUUGGGUAACGUUUUAACAGUUCGGCCAAAUAAUUCAAUCUACAUAAACUAAAAACUAACCUGUGUGUUGUAUUAUAAAAAAGAAAAAAACUCCAGCUAACUUUGAGUUUAGGUAUAUACAGGGUGUCCCAAAAAAAUGUAUACACGUAGUGGUUCGGCAAAAGAGAACGAUAGAAUAAGUACUAGGCUUACAAAGAAUCACAAAUUUACAAUUAUUUAAGGUGUGUAUACAUUUUUUGGAGACACCCUGUAUAUUGCAAAACUAAUAAUGAAACGAAAACAAUCCAGGAAAAUACAAAAAUAGACUUGGGUAUCCUGAGUAAGCGGAACGAAUUUGUAAUUGCUUAAAAAAAACACUUAUUAAAAUUAAAUAAACUGUUUAAUAACACGUAUCUUAUUUUUAUUUCCAUGUAUUAAAAAAUUUAACAUUUUUAAUAGCAGCAGCAAUUUUUGAAUUAUGCUGUUAAGGUAACUUUGAAAGACCUACAAUAAUAUCAUGAUCAUAUUGCCACACUUUUAUAAAGAUUACAAAUUGGUUGUGUUAUAAAAUAUAUUAAUAGGAGAAGGAUUACCAGAAAAACAAAGCCACCCUUAACAACAAUCAUCAUCAUCAUUUAACGUCCGCUUUCCAUGCUAGCAUGGGUCGGAUGAUUUUGACUGUGGGCUGGCAAACCAGAUGGCUGCGCCAGGCUCCAAUCUGAUCUGGCAGAGUUUCUACAGCUGGAUGCCCUUCCUAACGCCAACCACUCCGAGAGUGUAGAAGGUGCUUUUAUGUGCCACCCGCACGAGGGCCAGUCAGGCGGUACUGGCAGCGGCCACGCUCAAAUGGUGUCUUUUACAUGCCACCUGCACAGGAGCCAGUCCAGCGGCACGGCAAUGACCUCACUCAAAUAACAAUAACAGUGAUUUCUUUUAUUUGCCACAGGAGCAUUAGAUGAGGGAAACAUUACAAGGACAGUUUACAAUUUGUGUGUGUGUGUAUGAGGAGUGGGGGUUGCAUAAAAGCUGAGCGGAAGACAGGGACAAGAGGUGAAAAUGAGAUAAAAGUGUACAUAGUAUUCAAAAUAUGUGAACAAAUUUAUUGUGCAGUCCUCCUGAUACAGGAAAACCUCUAAAUAGGGCCAGUUAUGGACCCCUCCCCUUCUAUCUAGGAUCACUGUUACCACCAAGGGUACAAGCUUUGAUCUUCAAUCUACAGAUGUAUGCUUGAAGUAGGUUCAUUCAUUGUAACCACUUUUGCCACAGUCAUCCAUGUGGAAACACUGUACAUCCAGCUGUAGAAACACUGCCAGAUCAGACUGGAGCCUGGUGCAGCCUCCUGGCUUCCCAGACUCCGGUCAAACUGUCCAACCCAUGCUAGCAUGGAAAACGGACGUUAAAUGAUGAUGAUCCAUCUAUUAACAGAUUCACUGAGAGUGAGAGAAAACUUCCCUCUUCACUCUCACUUUCCUUUUCGAGUGGAACUUAGGGCUGUCAACAAGGGCUUCAGUGAAGAGGAAAAUACCUGUCCUCAAUCCUUUCCAUCUCAUCGCCACACAACCUCUUUUGCCAUAACCAUCUGACAAAGAAACCCCACUUAUCCUGCCUUGUUAAAGGUGGGUUGUGGGGCGAACCUCAUGAUGGACUUGAUCAAUAGGCGCAGGAGUGGCUGUGUGGUAAGUAGCUUGCUAACCAACCACAUGGUUGCGGGUUCAGUCCCACUGUGUGGCAUCUUGGGCAAGUGUCUUCUGCUAUAGCCCCGGGCUGACCAAUGCCUUGUGAGUGGAUUUGGUAGACGGAAACUGAAAGAAGCCUGUCGUAUAUAUGUAUAUAUAUAUGUAUGUGUGUCUGUGUUUGUUCCCCUAGUAUUGCUUGACAACCGAUGCUGGUGUGUUUACGUCCCCGUCACUUAGCGGUUCGGCAAAAAGAGACCGAUAGAAUAAGUACUGGGCUUACAAAGAAUAAGUCCCUGUGUCGAUUUGCUCGACUAAAGUCGGUGCUCCAGCAUGGCCGCAGUCAAAUGACUGAAACAAGUAAAAGAGUAUGUCGGCUAUACUUGGACACUGCAUGAAUGUGUGCAACCUAGUUUCUCACUUUGCAUACUUCUUCGGCAGUCCUGCUUGGUAGUGCUUCUAUGCCCUUGGAGUUUAUCUCAAAUUAGUAGUAGCACUACUCAGCUAGGAAUUUCUGGAAGUUAUCAAAGGUAACCUCUGUCCUGAAGGUCCUCCAAAACAAACCAGCUCAUUUGUUAUCAUUGACACUUAGUUUCCUUGAAAAUAUCAUCACAUUUACCCAGCACUAGAUCUCUAUAUAUUGCUAACAUAGAACUUUCACUGACAAUAUUGCCUGACUUGUAGAGUUUAGUGAGUGCUUGGUGACAUUCCACAUGCCAGGCACCCAAUCUUCUUCUUGUCUUGUCUUGAGACAGCAUUCACCCGGGGUGGGUUGAGCUGACUUCAUUCAUCCUCAAUGCUGCAUCUCUCACAAACGCAGACCAGACCUGGCAAUUUGAGGCUUACGACUGCCUGAUCUCCAAUCACUCCUUAUUCCAGCGGCAAACGCUGUAGAUAUGGGGGCCUAGGUUGGGUUUCAGAUCAGCCUUGACUGUCAUCAGCCAGGUUUUUCAUUGUCCACCACAUCACUUUCGCCAACCCUGAAGGGGGGCUGGAGCAAUUGCUUCAUAGAUGAAUUCUCCUGGUUGACGACAGAGGGCACUCAAUCUUGGUCCUUGUUGUUCCUGAACUGUAGCUCCAUCAGAAAGAUGAACUGCAAAAGGACUAGUCUUUCAGAGACCCUUUCUGCUUACUCUUCUGGAAAAUCUGCUGGUGGCACAACCUCAGCAUUUGUGAAUCAGUAGCAUGACAUAUCAAGCCCACCUUCUAGAGGGAACUGGCGACUAAUAGUCUGCCUGACUAGUGGAACAUGUCCCUUCCAAAGGAAGCAGAAAAAUAGAUGUUUCGGUCUGGUGAAACAGGGACUGGAGCAAGGCGCACUGAUCAGGCAGUAAGUUAUUACGGAGGCGAUGUAUGCAUUUGUCACCUCUGCUCAACUUUACAGAGAUAGCUUCCUCUCAGCUCAUUUCUGAGUGUGGUUGACCACACUACCUGUAACCUCAUCCCAGUUCCUGUGCACCUGGAGACCUAGAUCAAACCAGUCCCUUGGUAAUUUAACCUGUUCAUUUGUCCAAUAACAGAUGGACAGGUUGUAUUUGAUAACGUAGACUUACCUCACCAGAUGCCUAGCCGCAAGCCCACCAACUUAUCUUUGCCCCUGCCAUCAGUUUGUAUUCCUUUAGAAUGGAAUCAACUACUUCCAUUAUUAGAGGUUAUGAAAGUAGAUUUGAAAAAUAUAUUAAAUUUAUAUAUUUCCAUUCAAUGACAUUUAGCAAGAGAUCCCUAAGCAUUUACAUAAUCAUUCCCUUACUGGCACUUGUGCAGGUGGCACGUGAAAAACAUUCGAGCAAGGUCGUUGCCAGUGCCACUGGACUGGCUCCUGUGCAGGUGGCAUGUAAAAAACACCACUUGAGCAUGGCCAUUGCUAGUACCUCCUGACUGGCCCUCGUGCUGGUGGGAUGUAAAAAGCACCCACUACACUCAUGGAGUGGUUGGCGUUAGGAAGGGCAUCCAGCUGUAGAAACUCUGCCAGAUCAAGAUUGGAGUCUGGUGCAGCCAUCUGGUUCGCCAGUCCUCAGUCAAACCGUCCAAGCUAUGCUAGCAUGGAAAGCAGACGUUAAACAACAAUGAUGAGGAUUCCCCUUAUUCAGGAUACUCGAGCCUAUUUUUUUGUAUUUUCCCAGAUUGUUUUCGUGUCAUUAUCAGUCCCACAGAUAUAUGAACUUAAAACCAAAGAUCACCCUGAAGAUGUUAAAAUCAAAAACAGCCCUAAACAAAAAGAAAAUUACUGUUAACAGUUUGGUUAAAGAUCUUGCUUCUCAACCAUGUGAUUUCAGGUUCACUGUCACUGUGGCACCUUUUACCAGUGUCUUCCGUUAUAGUCCUGGGCCAGCUAAAGCCCUGUGAGUUGAUUUGGUACAUAGAAACUGAAAAAAUAAAAAAGGAGUCUCUCAUGUGCAUCUCGUUGCCUUCACAUCCUAUAAUGAUUGUAGUCGAGUGAUAUCAUCAUCAUCAUCAUCGUUUAGCGUCCACUUUCCACGCUAGCAUGGGUUGGACGGUUCAACUGGGGUCUGGGAAGCCAGAAGGCUGCACCAGGCCCAGUUUGAUUUGGCAAUGUUUCUACGGCUGGAUGCCCUUCCUAACGCCAACCACUCUAUGGGUGUAGUGGGUGCUUUUUAUGUGCCACUGGCACGGGGGCCAGGCGAGGCUGGCAACGGCCCGAGGCUGGCAUGUCAUGCAUUUUAAAUUUUCCAUGUAAAACAUAUCUGGCCUUGGGCAAAUAUUAUUUUGCUUGUAAACAAGUGAGUUUUGGCACCAGGAUGAACAUCUGGCUGUAGAAAAUCUGCAUUAAUGAAUGAUUUCUCUCUAAUCCAUCCAGACAUGGAAAAGAUGUUAUAAUGAUGUUGAUGAUAAUUUCUUCUUUCCACCACUCUCUUCUGUGUUUCGAAGUUUACAUCUUGUCUCACUUUUUUCUUUGCCAGCAUAGCAUUCCACUUCAGCUCACUUCUGUCUAGUAAUGCUUUAACCCUUUCGUUACUGUAUUUAUUUUGAGAUGCUCUGUGUUUCUUUCAAUCAAUUUUAAAUAUAACAAAGAAUUUAGUGAAAUAACUUAGUUAUCAUUAAGCUAGUGGCUAAGGUUUGGUGGAAGACUUUAAUUCAAAACUUAUGAAAACAAGACAUUUGUACUACAGAGCCAGAGCCGGUUUUAGCCGGGUUGGUAACGAAAGAGUUAACAUGUUACUAUCAAGCACAGGUGUGGCUGUGUAGUAAGAAGCUUGCUUCCCAACUACAUGGUUCUGGGUUUAGUUCCACUGCAUGGCACCUUGGGCAAAUGUCUUCUAUAGCCAUGGGCCAAUCAAAAGCCUUGUGAGUGGAUUUAGUAGAUGGAAACUGAAAGAAGCCCGUCAUGGGGUGGGUUGUGUCUCUCCUCCACCACUGCUUGACAACUGUUGUUGGUGUGUUUAUGUCCUCAUGACUUAGCAGUUUGGCAGAAGCAAGUGAUAGAAUAAGUACCAGGCUUUGAAAAAAAUAUAAGUACUGGGGUUGACUCUUUCGAUCAAAAUUCUCCUGGCUGCAGUCUAAUGACUAGUGCUUUAUACUGAAUUUGAGUAGCUGCAGUCGACUUAAACCAUUUAUCACUAAACUCAGCAUUUAUGAAGCGGGGCCUGAAAUGUUGAUCGGUGUGGUUCCAUCCCUUCACAAUGACCAAUGAAAUACAAUCAUACAUUAGCAAAUUUUAUAAAAGCACAUUAGAGUGAUGUGGGACAAAAUUCUGUCUUUAUGCAAAUGCAGAGAAAUGGGUGGAUAAAGUCAUAGAGGUUGUCAGGGUAUGCGAUAGAGUGCUUAAGCUCAAGCUAGUCCUGCAGAACAGCACAGCUACAAUUAUCUCUGCUUACGCCCCGCAAGCGGGCCUACCAAAUGAUCAGAGGGACCAAUUUUAUGACACCCUUCUACAGGCUACCUCAAAGACGAGUGGCAAUGACCUCAUCUUUGUGGCUGGAGAUUUUAAUGGGCAUGUUGUGUGGAAAUCAGGUAUCUUCACUGGUGUACACAGGGGCCAUGGUAUUGGUUCCCAAAAUGAUGAGGGAACUAGGCUACUGGAGUUCUGUGAUGCAUGUAACCUUUUAAUCUGCAACACUAACUUCAGGAAGCCAGACAGCCACCUGGUAAUCUAUCAAUCAGGUGACUCUGCUAGCCAGAUUGUUUUCAUCCUCACCAGACAGUGGAACGCAGGGUUGCUCUUAGAUACAAAGACCCUCCCGGGUGAAGAAUAUUCCCCCAGCAUAGGCUAGUCAUUAGUGACUUUAGGCUCAAGGUCAGAAGGAUACCAAGAAGCAAACCAAUCCAGAAAAGAAGGAUUUGGAAGCUCAAGAAUCCUUCACAUGGUCAGAGAUUUAGGGACAUCCUCAUCAAGAAAUUUGAUGAGAGGGAGGAGGAGCUACAGACAUUGGACAUUGAAGGUAGAUGGAAAUUCCUAUGAGGCAGCUUGCUGAGUGCCACAGACCAUGUCUGUGGUUGGUGCAAAGUCCCUUCCAGACUUAAAGUAAUGUGGUGGUGGAAUAGUAUGAUAGACAAAGCUAUCAGAGCAAAGAAACAGGCCUGGAAAGCCUGGAAGGGUGGGAUAGCAAGGAACUGUACCAGAUAGCCAAAAGGGAGGCUGGGCAUCAGGUAUACAUUAGCCAAGGGUGAAGUGGAAAAGUUUGCCAAUGUUCACUGAUGUGAGGACCAACAAACUGAAGUAUUUCAGAUUGCAAGACAGUGUGUGAGAGAAAAUCGUGAUGUCAUUGGAGAGAAAUGUGUCCGCAUGGAUGAUGGUGCACUUGCUUUUAAUGAUUCUGAAAAGAAAGAGGCUUGGAGAAUCCAUUAUGAAAGACUGCUGAAUGUGGAGAAUGAAUGGGUGGAGGAGAGCCUGCCAAAUAUUGACCCAGUAGAGGGACCAGCUAUCCAAAUAGACAGCUCCCUGGUAGAUAAAGCAAUUAAGGGUAUGAAGCCAGGAAAAGCCCCCAGCCUAUCAGGAAUCACUGCUGAGAUGCUUAAAACAUCUGUUGGUGUGGGCUAUGGCCUAGUCACCCGCAUUUUAAACCAGGUAGUUCAUGAAGGAGUCAUACCCAAUGACUGGUGCAGCAGCACCAUAGUCAACUGCUACAAGGGUAAAGGUGAUGCUUUAGACAGAAAUAACUACAGGGGUAUUAAAAUGUUGGAUCAGGUGAUGAAGGUCACAGAGACGGUCAUAGCCUAUCUCAUUAAGGACAGAGUCUGCUUAGAUGAGAUGCAGUUUGUUUUUGUACCGAGUAAAAGCAUCACUGAUGCUAUAUUCCUGGUGUGGCAACUGCAGGAGAAAUACCUAGACAAAGAUAAACUUAGCUUUUGUGGACUUGGAGAAAGCCUUUGACAGGGUCCUCCAAUCCCUUAUAUGGUGGGUGAUGCAGAAACUGGGGAUUGACAAUUGGUUAAUAAGUGCUGUACAGGCCCUAUACAGAGAGGCUGUUAGUAUUAUUUUAAACUCAGAUUUUUUUGCUUUGUAGUCUCUUGAGAUUAGAGAACCAGAAAAUAUGCAUUUUAAACAUCUGGGGGAAACUACCAAAAAUGAUAAAUUCCCAUUCUAGGCACAAUGUACUAUGCCAGAAUGGAUAAUGGAUGUUAAAUGAUGAUAUAUAUAUUGCAUAUGUUUCUUAACCCCAUGUUUCCUGGUUCAGUCCCACUGUGUGGCAUCUUGAGCAAGUGCCUUCUAUAGCCUCUGGCCGAACAAAGCCUUGUGAGUGGAUUUGGUAGAUAGAAACUGAAAGAAGCCUGUUGUAUAUAUGUAUAUAUAUCAUCAUCAUCGUUUAACAUCUGUUUUCCAUGCUAGAAUGGGUUGGACAGUUCGACUCGGGUCUGGGAAGCCAGAAGGCUGCACCAGGCUCCAGUCUGAUCUGGCAGUGUUUCUACAGCUGGAUGCCCUUCCUAACACCAACCACUCCGUGAGUGUAGUGGGUGCUUUUUACGUGCCACCGGCACAGGUGCCAGGGGAAGCUGGCAACGGCCACGAUCGGUUGGUGGUUUUUACAUGCCACCAGCACGAUAUAUAUAUAUAUAUAUAUAUAUACAUAUAUAUAUAUAUAUAUAUAUGUGUGUGUGUGUAUGUGCCUGUGUUUUUGUGUCUAUGUUCUCCACCAAUGCUUGACAAUGGGCGUUGGUUUGUUUACAUCCCCGUAACUUAGCAGGCUUUAAAAAAUAAGUCCUGGGGUUGAUUCAUUUGACUAAAAACUCCUCAAGACAGUGCUCCAGCAUGGCCACAGUCUAAUGACUGAAACAAAGUAAAAGAUAAAAGAUAUAUAUUUGUGUGUGUGUCGUUUGCGUUUGUCUCUCUCCCUACAGCUUCUCAGCUGGUGUUGCUUUGUUUACAUUCCCGUAACUCAAUGAUAUAGCAAAAGAGACACAUAGAAUAAGUACAACACUUGAAAAAAGAAAAAAAAGAGAGGUUGAUUUGUUCAGUUAAAAGAAAGUGCUCCACCAUGGCCACAGUCCAACAGCUGAAGCAUGGAAAAAAUAAAUAUGAAAGACGUAUCAUCAUUGUCAUGUACCAUCUGCUUUCUAUGCUGGCAUGGGUUGAUAUUUAUAUAGGAUUGUUUGUAUAUAAAUGUUUAUGUAAAAUGUAUAUAUAUAUAUAUAUAUAUAUAUGUAUAACUGUAUGUAUAAUAUGAAUGUAUAUACUUUGUUCCAGGAGCCAGAGGAAGAGCCGGAAGAAGAGCCAGAAGCUGAAGAAGAAGAAGAAGAGGAAGAAGAAUUAGAAGUAAGACUAUUUUCAUUUAAUUAGAAAAUGGGAGCAGGAGAAGACAAUAUAUAUUUUCUGUAAUUUGAAUUAUAAUCACAUCAUCAACAAUUAUUAUUAUUAUUAUAAUUAUUAUUAUUGUUAUAAUAAUUAUUAUUACUAUUAUUGUUAUAAUUAGUAUUAUUAUUAUUAUUAUUAUUAUUAUUAUUGAGUGAGAGAGCAGUUCAUGCCAUCAAAGUGACACUGGGGUAAAAUAUACGAAGCCCAAUAUACCCAUCAUGACUACCCGUCUGAUAAGGGUACACCAGGCACAUGCAUCACAACCAUGUGUGUGCGACAUGGUGAUCUCAUAUCAAGAUAAACAGCGCAUGACCUUGCAGGUGGGGCCCAGUUAGAAUUUUCUUCAGGUUGAGUAGCCCAUCCCGCUCAAAAGGUCCCUGAAUAAGGGUUGUUUAAUUAUUAUUAUUAUUAUUGAGGUGGCAAGCUGGCAGAAUCAUUAGCAUGCUGGGUGGAAUGCUUAGCCGUAUUUUAUCUGUUCCUAUGUUCUGAGUUCAAAUUCCACUAAGGUCAACUUUGGGUGUCAAUAAAUUGAGUACCAGUUGAGUACUGGGGCUCUAUGUGAUUGGCUGUCCUUCUUCCCGCGAAAUCCAGGCCCCUUAUGCUUAUAGUAGAAAGGAUUAUUAUUAUUAUUAAGGAAGUGAGGUGACAGAAUCGCUUAGCAUGCUGGGCAAAAUGUCCUUUACAUGCUGAGUUCAGAUUCCACCAAGGCUGACUUUGCCUCUCAUCCUUUUGGGGUCGAUAAAAUAAGUUCCAGUUGAACACUGGGGUCGUUGUAAUCGACUCGUUCCCUCUCUCAAAAUUGCUGCCCUUGUGGCACAUUUUGAAACCAUUAUUAUUAUUAUUAUUUAUUAUUUGCCCAAUCUUGAUCUGGCAGAGUUUCUGCAGCUGGAUGCCCUUCCUAACGCCAACCACUCCGAGAGUGUAGUGGGCACGUAAAAAGUACCCACUACACUCUCGGAGAGGUUGGCAUUAGGAAAGGGCAUCAAGCUGUAGAAACUCUGCCAGAUCAAGAUUGGAGCCUGGUGCAGCCAUCUGGUUUGCCAGCCCUCAGUCAAAAUCGUCCAACCCAUGCUAGCAUGGAAAGCGGACGUUAAACGAUGAUGAGGAUGAUUAUGAAUUAUUUGAUGGUGACAAUUCAUACACUUCACUUUCAAUGUUGGUGUGUAGCGUGUGAUCAUCGUGUUGACCAUAACGGAGGAAACUGAGCAGAGAAUUUGCAUCAAAUUUUGCCAAAAGCUUAGUGAUACCUGCUAAGAGGCCUACACAAUGUUUUCUAAAAGUUUUCUUUGUUUUUGACACAAUCGUAGGCAUAGGAGUGGCUGUGUGGUAAGUAGCUUGCUUACGAGCCACAUAGUGCUGGGUUCAGUCCCACUGCGCGGCACCUUGGGCAAGUGUCUUCUACUAUAGCCUCGGGCCAACCAAAGCCUUGUGAGUGGAUUUGGUAGACUGAAACUGAAAGAAGCCCAACGUAUAUAUGUAUAUAUAGACUUGUGUGUGUAUGUUUGUGUGCCUGUGUUUGCCCUCCACCCAACAUCACUUGACAACUGAUGCUGGUGUGUUUACGUCCCCGUAAAUUAGCAGUUCGGCAAAAGAGACUGAUAGAGUAAGUACUAGGCUUACAAGGAAUAAGUCCUGGGGUCGAUUUGUUCGACUAAAAGUAGUGCUCCAGCAUGGCCACAGUCAAAUGACUGAAACAAGUAAAAGAGUAAUCAAAGAGAUCUUCUACAGCUGAAAGCAGUUUUGGCACAAACUUGGCAGACAUAUGUCUCAUACCCAAAUCUUCAGUGGUAAUGGACUAAACUGAACUGCAAUUAAUCUGUACAUCCUCCGAUAACUUAUGGAUAGUGAUUCGAUGAUUUCGCCUCACAACUGCGUGCAUAUCUGCGAUGUUUUUCUCAGUUCUGCUGGUUGCAGGGUCUCCCAGAGUGUUUGUUAAUUUCAACAUUUUUCGGCCAUCUCGGAAGCUCUGAGCCACUUGUGCACUUGUAUGCGACUCAUACAAUCCUCUCCAUACACUUUCUGCAACUUUGCAUUGGACUCUGAGGAGAUAUUGCCAUGGCAACUUUCUCUGUCAUAGCCAAUGUGACUAUCACACACUACACCCCUUCCUUCCAAGCACUGCUGUAAACAGCCGAAGUGAGCUAGAUCAUUAAAACUUAGUGUGCAUGCACAGCAGUGUUCAAGGUCAACCUGUGCCAAGUGGCUUCAUUCUGCAUGCUUUAGCUUCAUUACUAUGGCAACAAUCUGGAUGCUUAUUGACCAGACCUCGUAUAUAUACACAUGCAUACAUGUACAUGUGUAUGUGUAGUUAAGUAACUAUACAUGGUAAAUAUAUUCAGACCUUGAAAAUAUGACUGAGAUUUGGAAAAUUAUAAUAUAUAUUAAAUUAUUUGUUCCAAACUAACUACAAAAUCUAAUAAGAAAACAUAUAAAGUCUAAAUAAAAAAAAACAGAAAUUAACAACUUUGAAUGCAGUCAUUUAAUGAAACAUACACACACACACAUACAUACAUACAUUCAUGUGUGUGUGUAAUAUAUAUCAUCAUCAUCAUCAUCAUCAUCAUCAUUUAGCGUCCGUUCUCCAUGCUAGCAUGGGUUGGACGGUUCAACUGGGGUCUGUGAAGCUGGAAGGCUUCAUCAGGCCCAGUCAGAUCUGGCAUACACAUACAUAUAUAUAUAUAUAUAUGAAUAUAUACACAUACAUAUAUAUAUAUACAUACAUAUAUAUACACAUACAUAUAUAUAUAUAUACAUACAUAUAUAUACACACACACAUGUAUACAUAUACACAUAUAUAUACUUAUAUAGUGUCUGUGUGUGUAUACAUACAUAUAUAGGUUUCUUUCAGUUUCCAUCUGCCAUAUCCACUCACCAAGUCUUGGCUGGCCUGAGUUUAUAGUAGGAGAUACUAGCCCCACCUGCCAUAUACAAUAGACCUGAACCUGAAACCAUGUGAUUGGAAACCCUAACUCCUGCAGACAUGUCUGUGCCAUUAUAUAUAUUCAUUAUUACUCACUUCCAAGGCAGUUAAUUGUCUGUAGCUGAAGAGAAAGCCUUUAGUUAUGUCCCUUUACAGUCUGACUUCAUAUCCUCUUAAUGUUGGCUACUAUUCAACCUUCCAGAGUCGAUAAAAUACAUGUACCCGUCAAAUAACUGCAGGCUCUGGUUGUAAUAUAACUGAUUGUCCCCACCACCUCUAAUUCUUCUUUUAAAAUGUGAAAUCGUGACUGCUACUUUAUUUUAUCCACCUUGGAGCAAUGGAAAAACAAAGCCAAUCUCAAUGAAAUUUGAACUCAGAAUGGAGUGAGCUGGAAGAAAUACUACAAGGAAGGUUGCCCAGGUUUUGUAAUGACUCCUCCAAUUCCCUGCCUUACAUCAUCAUCAUCAUGGUCAUUAUCAAGCACCCAUUUUUCAUGUCGGCGUGAGCUAAAUGGCUUAAUAGGAAGAUGGUGUUGAGUUCCUAUGGCUGGAUGCUCUUCCCUAGUGCCAAUAACUUUACUGAGUGUACUGGGUAUCUUGUUUUUUUGUGUGAAAAUGACACUAGUGAGAUUGCCAAAUAGCUCACAACUCGAAUAAAAGAACACCUUGACCGAGAAGUGGCUUAGUAGAGAGGGCAGUGGUUUUAUAUGAGAGGCAAGGCUGUUUAUGGAAGACCAGCUGUUGCCCAUGCAUACCACCCUUCCUCCACCAUGCCACCAGUGUUAUCCAAGGGAAAGGCAAAGAGGCCGAUACAGCUUGGCACCUGUGACGUCGCAACUCAUUUCUACAGCUGAUUGAACUGGAGCAACGGGAAAUAAAGUGUCUUGCUCAAGAACACAACACGCAGCCAGGUCUGUGAAUUGAACUCACUACCUCAUGAUUGUGAUUCUGACACUCUAACUACUGGGCCAUGCACCUUCACAACCAGAGAUUAACGUUAAAAGGUAGUAAAAGGCUCAUCAUCAUAACCAUUUAGCAUUCAGGUUAGUCUGUUUAAUAUAAUGCUUAUUUAUUCAUGUUGGUCCAGUGGUUAGAAUUCCUGGCUUUCACCCAGGUGGCCUGGGUUUGAUUCCCAUCAUGGGAACACUUAGCCUUUGCUGAUGACAUGUAAAAGCACUUGUGCUGGUGAUGCAUAAAAGCACCUGUGCCAAUGUUAUAUGAAAGGCACUCACUACAUUCUUGGAGUUGUUAGCAUUAAGAAUAGCAUCCAGGCAUGGAAACCAAGCCAAAUCAGACUGGAAUCUGGUACAGCUCUCCUGCUUACCAAUUCCAGUCAAACUGUGUAGCCCAUGCCAGCAUGGCAAGCAGAUGCUAAAUGAUAAUGAUUGCUUUGAAUUUAUCUGGUAGCUUUGAGAUUUCAAUGUUGUGAUGUGUGUGUCAUCAUGUGAUACACAUGUGUAUACAUAUAUAACAGACUUCUUUUAGUUUCUUUUCACUAAAUCUUAUCACAGGGUUUUGGCUGGCCUGGGGUUGUAAUAGAAGUCACUUGUCGAAGAUGCCAUAUGGUUGGGAAGCAAACCACUCUGCCACACAGCCAUGCCUGUGCCCAAGUGAUUCAACUGAUAUGUUAUAUUAAGUUCAAAGUUGGAGUUUUGAGAUAGAACCAGAGGAAGUUCACUUAAGUGUUAAAUACGUGGUGUAAAUAUAAUGAGUGCCAAAAAAAAAAAAGGGACGCGGGACAAAGAAAGAAAUAUAGUAUAAGCUUAACAUUCACCAUUCAUUUAAAUGUUAAGCUAAUAUUGUAUUUGUUAAACUUCGUUCUUCUUGUGUUACCCUUUUGUGAUCAAUAUUAAACUUAGAGGUGGUUUGCUAGAAAUAGCAAAUCACACCAUACCAUCUCAACAAAAGAUAUAUUCUUUUCUACUCUAGGCACAAGGCCCGAAAUUUUUGGGGAGGGGGAACAGUCGAUUAGAUCGACCCUCUGGUACUUAAUUUAUCGACCUUGAAAGGAUGAAAGGCAAAGUGAACCUUGGCAGAAUUUGAACUCAGAACUUAAAGACAGACGAAAUACCUAUUUCUUUACUACCCACAAGGGGCUAAACACAGAGAGGACAAACAAAGACAGACACAGGUAUUAAGUCGAUUAUAUCGACCCCAGUGCGUAACUGGUACUUAUUUAAUCAACCCUGAAAUGAUGAAAGGCAAAGUGAACCUCGGCAGAAUUUGAACUCAGAAUGUAAAGACAGAUGAAAUACCGCUAAUGAUUCUGCCAGCUCAUCACCCUUCAACAAAAGACAUAUUGAAUGAUAAAGUGUGGAGUACACAAUUUCCGAAAUAAAAUAGAUGUGGUAGUCAUAGCUUUAAAUGCCUUAUAUCAUAAGGUUUGUCUCAUUAGAGUUGAUUGGCUUGGAAUUAAACAAAUAUAACCCCUCAAGCUGUAUGGACACAUUGGUUUUGGUUAAGGAUCUGUUAAUAAUAAUAAUAUUAUUCAUAUUACAAAAUACUUUUGAUAAGUCCAUUAAAUUUGUGUACUUUUGGUUCGUCAUCGUUUAACGUCUGCUUUCCAUGCUAGCAUGGGCUGGUCGAUUUUGAGUGAGGGCUGGUGAACCAGAUGGCUGCACCAGGCUUCAAUCUUGAUCUGGCAGAGUUUCUACAGCUGGAUGCCCUUCCUAACACCAACCACUCCAGGAGUGUAGUGGGUGCUUUUACAUGGGGCUAGUCAGGCGGUACUGGCAAUGACCUCACUCGAAUCUUUUACAUAUGCCACCGGAACAGAGGCCAGGUAGCCACUCUGGCAACGAUCAUGCUCGGACUUAUAUAUAUAUAUAUAUUUGACAGUUUGUAUAUAAGGAAAAGAAAACCUGAUAUUCUAUUGAAAAAUAAAGAUACUUUUUAAAAAUCAGCCAGAUUAUGGUUGGGAGAUAAGUUUACUCAAAGUAGCCUUCCUCAACUUCCACCAUGUCCUCAAGAGGGCUCUGGAACCCGUUGAUCGUAACCGACAGAAUGUGAUUUAUUUGUAGUGGAACAGCCUACUUCUCUCACUCGGGAGUGUCCUCCACAACAGCCAGCUAUUUUGAGUGAAGUUCUAUGUUUGUAUAUGUCUUGAUAUUUGUUUGUUAUAUGUCCUCAGGAGGGCUCUGGAACCUGGUGCAUGCAUUCCUCACUGUGUCCCUGGGGAGAUCUUUGAAGACCUCUUUGAUCUUGGCCACCAGGUCAGCCUUGGUGUAGCAGGCAUAGCAGUUGGUGUCUUUCUCAACCACUCUCCACUCAUAGUAAUCUAUGGGAUUACAACUGGGGGAAUAGGAGGUCAGAAAUUGGAAUUGACUCUUUCUUGAGAUUUGGCAAGGUGCCCAGUCCUGUUGCCACACAUAUGGCCUUCCAGCCACAACCGUCUCUAGUCACGGUUUGACCACAGUCUUCAGCAGCUUUACAUAGUUGUCUGAAUUGAGCCUAAAGCCCUGUUCAAAGAUGUUGGGUAGCAUAAUGUCACCCUCACUGGAGUCACACCUAAAGACCAACACAGUUUGGGAGGACUUGGUUUUCAUGAUGUCUGUGUCAUGUCUUAUAGCCUUUACAGUGUUCACAGAACAUUGAACAGCAGUCAUUGUGUUGGCCUUUUGAUACCUGGCACAAAUCAUCAUGAUCUGGGUAACUCUUUCUCAAUAUUCAGAAGGCUUUCAAUCCUCCAUGUCAGCUAAAUGUGUCUCAUCUACAACUUUAGUCUUUAUGCUCUCCAAUGCUGUUGACUCUUCACCAGUACAUCAAGCUGUUACUGAGAAAAAAAAAAGGAGACAAAAUGUAAUCAAAUUUACUCUGAAUCCAUAUAUAUAUAGGCGCAGGAGUGGCUGUGUGGUAAGUAGCUUGCUAACCAACCACAUGGUUCCGGGUUCAGUCCCAAGUGUCUUCUGCUAUAGCCCCGGGCCGACCAAUGCCUUGUGAGUGGAUUUGGUAGACGGAAACUGAAAGAAGCCUGUCGUAUAUAUGUAUAUAUAUAUAUAUAUGUAUGUGUGUGUGUUUGUGUGUCUGUGUUUGUUCUCCUUGCAUUGCUUGACAACCAAUGCUGGUGUGUUUACGUCCCCGUCACUUAGCGGUUCGGCAAAAAGAGACCGAUAGAAUAAGUACUGGGCUUACAAAAAGAAUAAGUCCUGGGGUCGAGUUGCUCGACUAAAGGCGGUGCUCCAGCAUGGCCGCAGUCAAAUGACUGAAACAAGUAAAAGAGAAAAAGAGUAAUAUAAUGAUAGAGAAUAUGGAGACGGACGCAUCCUCAAAAUCCAGUGAAGUGAACACAGAAUUACCCAUCACAAGAAUUUACACCUGAGUGACAACUCUUGAUAGCCAUAGAUGUUAAAUACUAAUUGAUGUCGUUAGCUGUAACCCGGAAUAUAACUGAGAGCUACCACAGUAUCUAGCCAAAUAGUAUGUCCCUCUAAACUCCUAUUAAGAUAUAUAUCUAUUAAGUAGGUGAAUGAAUUAUCCUAUGUUUAUCGUCAGCAUGGAAAAUAUAUAUAUAUAUAUAUAAAUAUAUAUAUAUACAUACACCAUGACAGAUCGCUAGCCACUACACAUUCAUUAUUUUCUCUCCUUGUUUCUUUCUGUGUCCCUUUCUGUCGAAGACCAUAGGCUCGAAACGUUAAAGACUUUUUCACUUCCCGAGCGUUAUACUAAUACAUCUGUUUGUUGUCUACACCACCUGUCUUCGUCUUUUGUUUUUUUUGUGAAUUCUCCCUAUAUAUAUAUAUAUAUAUAUAUAUAUAAAAUAUGAAUUACAGAUAAAACCACUAUUAUGCAGCCUUGUGAGCACCGGCAGCAAUUUUUUUUCCUCUGUCUUCCCUUCUCGGGAUCUUUCCUUCUCCUUUGUUUCCGAUGAAGAGCUCCGCUCGAAACGUUAAACCCUCCUUCUUUCCUGAGCAUCCAAUAAUACUUUAUUUGUUCCACGUCCUCGCAUUGCUGUUUUUUUUGUGUUUUCUUGUUUGGAUUAACUAUAUAUAUAUAUAAUUUUUUUUUUAAAUAUAUAACUUAUAACUAGAUCUCAAAAUGUAUAAAAUGAAUGAUAAAUAUAUAAUAUUAUAUAUGUAUCAAAUAUAAAUUAAAAACAGAACACAAAGGAUAUCGCAGUACACGUGUUAUAUCCUUUGUGUUCUGUUUUUAAUUUAUAUUUGAUACAUACUCUCUCACCUCUGCCACUAUCUGGCAUCUACAGGUGCUUACACUUAUCAAGUAUCCACUCUAAAUUUACAGUACCUAUAUAUACAUACUUGCAUACAUACGCACACAUGUAUGUGUGUAUAUUAGUCAUGGUUUAUUUACUUCCCUUCGUCAACAUUCGUUAGUUCCAUAAAUUAAUUGUCUGCUUUCAGGAUAUCCACGACGCUUUGCGUGAUAAAUGUCGAGAGGCUAAUUGUUCAAAGUAUCAGGAGAAGUUAGAUACUUGUAAUGACCGUGUGAAUUCUCGCACUAAAACAACUGAAGACUGUACUGAAGAACUAAUGGAUUUAUUUCAUUGUGUUGAUUAUUGCGUAAGUACUCUUACUCUCUUACUCUUUUACCCUUUUACUUGUUUCAGUCAUUUGACUGCGGCCAUGCUGGAGCACCGCCUUCAGUCAAGCAACUCGACCCCCGGACUUAUUCUUUGGAAGCCCAGUACUUAUUCUAUCGGUCCCUUUUGCUGAAUCGCUAAGUUACGGGGACGUAAACACACCACCAUUGGUUGUCAAGCGAUGUUGGAGGGACAAACACAGACACACACAAACAUACACUCGUCUGGCACCUGUGCUGGUGGCACGUAAAAAGAACCCACUACACUCGCGGAGUGGUUGGCGUUAGGAAGGGCAUCCAGCUGUAGAAACUUUGCCAGAUCAGACUGGGCCUGGUGCAUCCUUCUGGCUUCCCAGAACCCUAGUUGAACCGUCCAACCCAUGCUCGGUCGGCCCGAGGCUAUAGUAGAAGACACUUGCCCAAGGUGCCACGCAGUGGGACAGAACCCAGCACUAUGUGGUUCGUAAGCAAGCUACUUACCACACAGCCACUCCUGCGCCUAGUAGGAAAUUAUCUUUAUACUCCUUGUUGCAGUUUUGUUAGUGUUGUUGUUUUUGUUUAGCCCCAGAACAACGUUGAUUGAAGAGACCAUAUCUUCGAUUUGUAAUCUGUGAUUAUUCAUUUUAUGUUUUUUAUUUUUCUCUCUUUGUUCACGGCGAGCUGGCAGAACCGUUAGCACGCUGGGCGAAAUGUGUAGCCGUAUUUCGUCUGCCGUUAUGUUCUGAGUUCAAAUUCUGCCAAGGUCAACUUUGCCUUUCAUCCUUUUGGGGUCGAUAAAUAAAGUACCGGUUUUGCACUGGGGUCGAUCGAAUCGAUUAAUCCCUUUGUCUGUCCUUGUUUGUCCUCUCUAUGUUUAGCCCCUAGAGGGCAAUAAAGAAAUAUAUAUCCUAAACCAUAUUUUCCAAUCUAUCUUUCCCAAUUUGCUUUUCUGUAAGUAGGGUGUAAUUUGAGGGAGAUUUGGCUUCUCCAUCUUGCGGGACAACCAACUCCUGGAAUUUCCUUGAUUCUUCAUUACCUCAUUUUGCUUAUUGUUACCAAAGUUGUUGAAUUAGCUCUAUUGGUAGAGUGCUGGACAAUAUUACCUUACACUAUUUGGUUAUGUCCCUUUACAUCUUGAGUUCAAAUCUCACUGCAGACAGCCUUAUUUUUCAUCUUCUUGGGACAAUUAAAAUAAGUAUCAAUCAAGAAGGGAAUUGGUUAAAUAAGCUGUACCCUUCCUCCAGAUUUUAACUUUGGGUGGGUAUCACAAAUCAAUUUUGUCAUCAUCAUCAUCGUUUAAUGUCCACUUUACAUGCUAGCAGGGGUUGGACGAAUGACUGAGGGCUGGCAAACCAGAUGGCUGCACCAGGCUACACUCUUGAUCUGGCAGAGUUUCUACAGCUGGAUGCCCUUCCUAAUGUCAACCACUCCGGGAAUGUAGUGGGUGCUUUUACGUGCCACCAGCAUGGGACCAGUCAGGCGGUACUGGCAACGACCUCGCUCGAAUCUUUUACGCAUGCCACCGGCACAGGUGCCAGUAAGGCAAUGCUGGUAACGAUCACACUUGAAUGGUGUCUUUUAUGUGCUACCGGCAUGGAGGCCAGAUAGCCGCUCUGGCAACGUAUCCUGCCAUAGAAACCAUGCCACUUCAGAUUAUUGGAGUCUGAACAGCUCCCCAAGUGGCCAGCUCCAUAUCAAAUCGUCCAACCCAUGCCAGAAUGCUUUGUGGUAUUUCAUCCAUCUCUACGUUCUGAGUUCAAAUUCUAUUGAGGUCGACUUUGCCUUUCAUCUCUUUAGGGGUCUACAAAAUAAGUACCAGUUAAGCACUGGGGUCGAUGUAAUUGACUUCCCUCUUCCCCAAACUUACUGGCCUUGUGCCAAAAUUUGAAAUUAGUUUUAUGCUAUUGUAACCAUUUCUGACUACUACAUAACUGAAUGGUUAAGAAGUUCACUUCAUAAUAUUUAGAUCCCAGGUUCAAUCCCAUUGCAUGGCUUUUUGGGUAAAUGUCUUUUACCCCAACCUCUGGUCAACCCAAGUAUUGACGGUGAAAUUAGAUUUGUAGAAACUGCUUAGAAUUCCAUCAAAUGAGUUUUCUAGGGUGAAGCAAAAAACACCUUGGAUACCUGUGUUCUUGACAAACAUGUCAACUACAGAUGCUCUGUGUUCACUGGGCAGAUUAUGAUGAGAUCUUGUAAGGAAAGAAAGAAACAAAGAAAAAGGUAGAACAUAAGCUACAUGAGAGUAUCAUUACUAACUUAACUUGUGCCACAUUAAUUGCAAUAUAAAACAUGGGAGGCUUUUCUGCUGCAGUCUGCUCCAUCAUCAUCAUCGUUUAACGUCCGUUUUCCAUGCUAGCAUGGGUUGGACAGUUCAACCGGGAUCUGGGAAGCCAGAAGGCUGCACCAGGCCCAGUCUGAUCUGGCAGUGUUUCUACAGCUGGAUGCCCUUCCUAACGUCAACCACUCCAUGAGUGUAGUGGGUGCUUUUUACAUACCACUGGCACGGAAGCCAGUCAAGGCGGCGCUGGCCCCAUAUAUCAAUGGUCCAGGCUUACCUCGGACUGUGUUACACUGAUUCAGUGUGAGAACUAUGCUAAGAGACAUGUGUCUGUGGCAUAUUUAAUCACAUACAUGCUAAUUCAAUUUUAUAUCACAGCAGUGUUGUUGCUUACAGGUAUCCAAUAGCCUGAGCUGGCAGAAACGUUAGCACGCCGAGUGAAAUGCGUGGCCGUAUUUCGUCUGCCGUUACGUUCUGAGUACAAAUUCCGCCGAGGUCGACUUUGCCUUUCAUCCUUUCGGGAUUGAUAAAUUAAGUACCAGUUACGCACUGGGGUCAAUAUAAUCGACUUAAUACCUUUGUUUGUCCAUGUUUGUCCCCUCUGUGUUUAGCCCCUUGUGGGUAGUAAAAAAGUAGGUAUUUGGUCUGCCGCUACGUUCUGAGCUCAAAUUCCGCCGAGGUCGACUUUGCCUUUCAUCCUUUCGGGGUCAAUUAAAUAAGUACCAGUUAUGCACUGGGGUCGAUAUAAUCGACUUAAUCCGUUUGUCUGUCCUUGUUUGUCCUCUCUGUGUUUAGCCCCUUGUGGGUAGUAAAGAAAUAGGUAUUUCGUCUGCCGCUACGUUCUGUGUUCAAAUUCCGCCGAGGUCGACUUUGCCUCUCAUCCUUUCGGGGUCGAUAAAUUAAGUACCAGUUAUGCACUGGAGUUGAUGCAAUCGACUUAACCCGUUUGUCUGUCCUUGUUUGUCCCCUCUGUGUUUAGCCCCUUGUGAGUAGUAAAGAAAUAGGUAUCCAAUAGCCCCCUCACUGGUUUGCUUCCUUUUCCAUUAUUGAGAGAGACAUGGAAGUAUUUGAGUAACUUGGUGCCGAUCUUAUUUUGGCACAAGGCCAGUGUUAUGUCUUGCUUGACACUGUUAUGUCUUGUAUUAUAACAGCGUACUUCGCUGUCACGCUGUCAGCUUGACUGGCCCAAACUGUGUGACUGGCUGUGAGUUGCGCACCUCGUUGACUGCUCCACUGCUUCACUUGUAGCUGACCACUAUUUAUUUCUGUGAAGAUGUGUGGCUUAGUGGUUAGGGCAUUUUACUCAUGAUUGUAAGGUCGUGAGUUCAAUUCCUGGCGAUGCGUUGUGUCCUUCAGCAUGACACUUUAUUUCACAUUGCUCCAGUCCACUCAGCUGGCAAAAGUGAGUUGUACCUGUAUUUCAAAGGGUCAGCUUUGUCACACUCUGUGUCAUGCUGAUUCUCCCUGAGAACUAUGUUAGAGGUACACAUGUCUGUGGAUUGCUCAGCCUCUUGCAUUUCACGAGUAAAGCUGUUCUGUUGAUCGUAUCAGCUGGGACCCAUGUCAUCGUAACCAAUAGAGUGCGAUUUAUUUGUAGUGGAACAGCCUACUUUUCUCACUCAGGGGUGUCCUCCACAACAGCCAACUAUUUAAAGUGAAGUUCUAUGUUCAUAUAUGUUUUGAUAUUUGUUUGUUAUUUUCAUUAAGGCCUCGUCUGGCCCCCAUGCCGGUGGCACGUAAAAAGCACCCACUACACUCUCGGAGUGGUUGGUGUUAGGAAGGGCAUCCAGCCGUAGAAACAUUGCCAGAUCAGACUGGAGCUUUGUGCAGCCUCCUGGCUUCCCAGACUCCAGUUGAACCGUCCAACCCAUGCUAGCAUGGAAAACGGAUGUUAAAUGAUGAUGAUGAUGAUUAAGGUGACAAUCUGACAAAAUCGUUAGCCCUGGGUACAAAAUACUUAGCUGCAUUUCAUCUGUCUUUGUGUUCUGAGUUCAAAUUCUGCUGAGGUUGACUUUGCCUUUCAUUCUUUUGAGAGCUGAUGAAAUAUGUAAUAGUUGAGCACUGGGGUUGAUGUAAUCAAUUUCCCCAUUCCUCAAAAUUGCUGGCCUUGUGCCAAAAUAAAAGAACUGCAUUGAAUUACGCAAACACUUCCCUCUCUCCCUUAUCGGGAAAAAUGUAGUGAACCAGUAAGAGAUCCAUUGGAUACCUGCAACCAACAAUACUGUUGUUUAUAUAAAUGAAAUGUCCACUAUGUUUCCCAUAAAUCAAACACUAACACCAUAACUAGAUAACUGUAGACUUAGAUAAUCCUAUAGAAAUGCUAUGGGUUAUAGCUUGAAUGCCUUUCAACAUAGGUCUGCCCUGUCAAAAUUGAUACAAAGUAUCAAAAUCAAAUUCGAUGACUGGCGUCCGUGCUAGCAGGGUGCAAAGAGCAGUGUCACCUUACUGGCACUUGUGCCCGUGCUAGUAGGGUGCCAAGAGCACCAUCCGAGCAUGAUCGUUGCCAGAGCAGCCAACUGGCUUCCGUGCCAGUGGCACUUAAAGGGUACCAAUCGAGCGUGAUCGUUACCAACGUCGCCUUACUGGCACCUGUGCUGGUGGCAUGUGUAAAAAGGAUUCAAGUGAGGUCAUUGCCAGUACCACCUGACUGGCCCCCCCGAGCCGGUGGCACGUAAAAAGCACCCACUACACUCUCUGAGUGGUUGGCGUUAGGAAGGGCAUCCAGCUGUAGAAACUCUGCCAAAUCAAGACUGGAGCCUGGUGCAGCCAUCUGGUUCGCCAGCCCUCAGUCAAAAUCGUCCAACCCAUGCUAGCAUGGAAAGCGGACAUUAAACAAUGAUGAGGAUGAUGAUGAUGAUUAACCCUUUUGAUACCAACCCACUCAGGACUGCCCCAAGUUUUAUGAUACAAGCUUCCUGAUUUAGCCCUUUAGCAUUUAAACAGGCCAUAUUCAACCCAAUAUAUUCUACUUGAUUUUUGUUCAAACUGGUCUGGUCCAGCCUCUUGCACCUAUCCAAUAAUCUAAAAAUCUGCCGUUCAAAGUGAAAAGAUCCGGUUGGUAUACUUCAGGUUAUGAAUUCAUCUAUUUUUAACCAUUUGUUUUUUUUAUCUUCCAUCAUCAUCAUCACCAUCAUUUGUAUGUCUAUUUUCCUAUGUCUGCAUGAUUUCUAUGGAUUUUCUCUGUUAGAGCAUUUCCUCAUUUACUGUGAUCCUUCGUAGUCUUCAACUUUCUGAAACUUUUAACCACUUCAGCUUUUAUCCUCCUUCAGUCUCCUGCCUUUGCAGGUUCCUUCCAUUUGGAUCACUUACUACUUCUUUGUGGGGCGCAUGGCCUAGUGGUUAAUCCAAUUAUCUUCAAAAUCUCUAAGCCCCAAGAUAAACCAUGAUAAAAUGUGAAUAAAUAAGCCUUAAUCUGUAAUCUGAAUGCUAAAUGGUUAAAGUAAUUCAAAUUAAAAUUUUCCAUCAAAAUUCCUCGUUAAUUUGUUCCAAGCCCCAGCUCAAUAACGACACUGUAUUAUUAGUGAAUUCUUCAUUAUUUUCGAAAUUAAUUGAAACAAAAGGCAGCGUGUUUCAACAAGAACAUGGUAAUUUAGAUGAAUAUAAAGAUUAUAUGUUAAAUGUAUAAUAGUGAACUUCUUACUAAUAAUGGUACUAAUUGUGAUAAAUUUACUAUUUUUGUUAUCUCUAUUUAUGUGCUGUUAUUUAUUCAAAUUUUUUUUUUCUUUCUUUGUUUGCAGGCAGCAAAAACAUUGUUUUCGAAGUUGAAAUAAUGAAGGAGUUUGUAGAGGCUUUUACAAAGCUGUAAAUUUAUUUAGAUCAACAGACAAUUUUUUUGUAAAUUCUUCAUGUAAAAUACAAGUCUAAAAUAAAUUUGUUUCAUUGACUUGAUCAUAUGAAGAAGAGUAUUUUUUUAAUUAUAGCUGGAAUAUUUAAGCUAUUAAUUAAUGGCUGGUAAAUUUUUAACUUUGUUUUAAUGUUGGUGUUUGUGAAAAGAAAUCUGUGAUAGUCAUGUGUUGAACUACAUCUUCUAUUCAUCCUAACUUGUUGUAUUCAACAAUACAAUGAUUUAAUGUUUGAAUUGGUUGGUAGGAUAUUUUUGUUUGAACGGCAGAUUUUUAAAAUAAUUUCUUUGUAACUAAACACUUUUAAACUUCAUAUACUGGUAGAAUGUGUUUAUAAAACAUCUUUUUCUCUUGGCUUUCGUUGAGAAAAUUCUGUAGUUUGUAAGAUAUUUGUUGUUUAUUUUCUUGCAUUUCGGCAAUUUCAACCAAUCAAUGACGUCUAUUGAGGUGAAAACGAUUUCUGCCGUAGUGUGUCGUUUUGUGUCGUAGUGUGUCGAUUGGUUGAAAUUGCCAAAAUGCAAAAAUAUAAACAACAAAUAUCUUAAACGAGGGACAUAUUCAUACGGCAUAGAAUGGUUUCACUUCAAUAGACGUCAUUGAUUGGUCGAAAUUGCAGAAAUUGAAGAAAAAACAACAACAAAUAUCUUAUAAAUUAUAGAAUUUUCUCAAGAAAGCCAAGAGAAAACGAUGUUUUAUAAACACAUUCUACCAGUAUACGAAGUUUAACAUUUUUUAGUUACAUAGAAAUUAUGUUAAAAAUCUGCCGUUCAAAGCGAAAAGAUCCGGUUGGUAUACUUCAGGUUAUGAAUUCAUCUAUUUUUAACCAUUUUUUUUUUAUCUUCCAUCAUCAUCAUCACCAUCAUUUGUAUGUCUAUUUUCCUAUGUUUGCAUGAUUUCUAUGGAUUUUCUCUGCUACAGCAUUUCUUCUUUUGCUGUGAUCCUUUGUAGUCUUCAACUUUCUGAAACUUUUAACCAUUUCAGCUUUUAUCCUCCUUCAGUCUUCCACCUUUGCCGGUUCCUUCUAUUUGGAUCACUUACUACUUCUUUGUGGAGGCGCAUGGCCUAGUGGUUAGAGCAGCGGACUUGCGGUCGAGGGAUCGCGAGUUCGAAUCUCAGACCGGGCAAUGUGUGUGUGUUUAUGAGCGAAACACCUAAGCUCCACGUGGCUCCGGCAGAAGGUAAUGGUGAACUUCUGCUGAUUCUUUCGCUACAACUUUCUGUCACUCUUUCCUCCUGCAUCAUGCAGCUCAUCUGCGAUGGACUGGCGUCCUGUCCAGGUGGGGAACCUAUACGCCAAGGAAACCGGCAAACCGGCCCUUAUGAGCCAGCAUGGCUCGAGAAGGAACAAACAAAAAAAAAACUUACUACUUCUUUACCCAACUGUCAUCUUCAAUACACAUCACAUUGCUUGUACCAGCUCAGUCUCUUCUCUUGUUCACUGCAUCUAAUUCCUCUUGCAUCUAGUUUUAUUUUCCUCAGCACGUUUGUGCCUUGUAAAUUACAUGCUAUCAUUACACUUUCUGUGUCAUCUCAUUUCUUUCCUGUCUUUGCAUUAAUUGCCUGUUUCAUUACUAUGCAUUGUUAUACUAUGUACACAAUAAAUAAUAAUAAAUGUGCCCUUUUAAAGCCUAGCCAGGCUCA
rnacentral:lncRNA from 1 species